ACCCCACUAACAAGUUUGAGCGUAUAGGUAACAAUAUAGUCAAGAAGAUGAUGGGAUUAAAAUUAAUUGAUAAACCACGUGCUGAAAGGUUGACGUCGAGGUACACGGUUGCUCCGCGGAUCUACGGUUUGAGGAAAACACAUAAGAAUACAUGUAAAUUGAGACCAGUAGUUAGCUGCAUAAACUCACCCAGUUACAAUUGUGACAUCCAUGUGGAGUGACGUGUUUUUCGGCCGUUAACAAAAAAAUUAAAAUUAAAAAAACUAAUUGGAGGAUGUAAUUUAAUAAUCAAAAAUAUGUAUUGAUGCGACUAUAUACAUGAAAAUACAAGAGGUUGGAGAACAAAAUGUAAAUUUAAAGAGCAAUAACUACAAAAUAGAAAUAUUAAUGUAAAUUUUAACUAGCCAAUUUUAAAU
rnacentral:misc_RNA from 1 species